rnacentral:rRNA from 1 species
GACGAACGCUGGCGGCGUGCUUAACACAUGCAAGUCGAACGGAAAGGCCCUGCUUUCGUGGGGUGCUCGAGUGGCAAACGGGUGAGUAACACGUGAGUAACCUGCCCUUGACUUUGGGAUAACUUCAGGAAACUGGGGCUAAUACCGGAUCGGAGCUCCUGCUGCAUGGUGGGGGUUGGAAAGUUUCGGCGGUUGGGGAUGGACUAGCGGCUUAUCAGCUUGUUGGUGGGGUAGUGGCUUACCAAGGCUUUGACGGGUAGCCGGCCUGAGAGGGUGACCGGCCACAUUGGGACUGAGAUACGGCCCAGACUCCUACGGGAGGCAGCAGUGGGGAAUAUUGCACAAUGGGCGGAAGCCUGAUGCAGCAACGCCGCGUGCGGGAUGACGGCCUGCUGGUUGUAAACCGCUUUCGCCUGUGACGAAGCGUGAGUGACGGUAAUGGGUAAAUAAGCACCGGCUAACUACGUG